CGUCAAAUCAUCAUGCCCCUUAUGUCCUGGGCUACACACGUACUACAAUGGCUGUAAACAGAGGGAAGCGAAGGCGCGAGCCGGAGCAAAUCCCCAAAAGCAGUCUCAGUUCGGAUUGCAGGCUGAAACUCGCCUGUAUGAAGUAGGAAUUGCUAGUAAUCGCGAAUCAGCAUGUCGCGGUGAAUACGUUCCCGGGUCUU
rnacentral:rRNA from 1 species